rnacentral:rRNA from 1 species
AUUGAACGCUGGCGGCAGGCUUAACACAUGCAAGUCGAGCGAGCGGCGGACGGGUGAGUAAUGUCUGGGAACCUGCCUGAUGGAGGGGGAUAACUACUGGAAACGGUAGCUAAUACCGCAUACCAUCGGAUGUGCCCAGAUGGGAUUAGGUAGUUGGUGGGGUAACGGCUCACCUAGGCGACGAUCCCUAGCUGGUCUGAGAGGAUGACCAGCCACACGUGGACUUAGACACGGCCCAGACUCCUACGGUAGGCAGCAGUGGGGAAUAUUGGACAAUGGGCGAAAGCCGGAGGCAGCCAGGCCGCUUGUAUGAAGAAGGCCUUCGGGUUGUAAAGUACUUUCAGCGGGGAAGCGGUACUCGCAGAAGAAGCACCGGCUAACUACGUGCCAGCAGCCGCGGUAAUUC